UACGAAGGGGGCUAGCGUUGCUCGGAAUCACUGGGCGGAAAGCGCACGUAGGCGGAUUUCUAAGUCAGGGGUGAAAUCCUGGAGCUCAACUCCAGAACUGCCUUUGAUACUGGGAAUCUCGAGUCCGGGAGAGGUGAGUGGAACUGCGAGUGUAGAGGUGAAAUUCGUAGAUAUUCGCAAGAACACCAGUGGCGAAGGCGGCUCACUGGCCCGGUACUGACGCUGAGGUGCGAAAGCGUGGGGAGCAAACAGG
rnacentral:rRNA from 1 species